CCUCAACAUCCAGAGUCGGUGAAUCGACGUCAUCACCAUCAUUCAAUUUCUGAAUUCGAUGUAGCUUCAACAGCAAAACCUGCAACUGCAAUAAUAACAAUAAAUACUCAGUGUCAAACGGAAGAAAUAGCAAAGAAGAAAGAACGCAAAAGUAAAAGGAAGAAUACGUUAUCCGAACCACGCACAGAGACAAAGAAGAAGGAUCAGAAUCAGAUAGGUGAAAAGAAUAUACACCUGUACAUCGAGACUUUCGCCAGAAGGGGAUUUCUUCACCGUUGUUGCUGUGAGGUAAGACUGAUUUGU